rnacentral:rRNA from 1 species
AACGAACGCUGGCGGCAGGCCUAACACAUGCAAGUCGAGCGAGACCUUCGGGUCUAGCGGCGGACGGGUGAGUAACGCGUGGGAACGUGCCCUUUGCUUCGGAAUAGCCCCGGGAAACUGGGAGUAAUACCGAAUGUGCUCUACGGAGGAAAGAUUUAUCGGCAAAGGAUCGGCCCGCGUUGGAUUAGGUAGUUGGUGGGGUAAUGGCCUACCAAGCCGACGAUCAAUAGCGGGUUUGAGAAGAUGACCAGCCACACUCGGACUGAGACACGGCCCAGACACCUACGGGAUGCAGCAGUGGGGAAUCUUAGACAAUGGUGGAAACCCUGAUCUAGCCAUGCCGCGUGAGAGAUGAAGGCCUUAGGGUUGUAAAGCUCUUUCACCGGGGAAGAUAAUGACGGUACCCGGAGAAGAAGCCCCGGCUAACUCCGUGCCAGCAGCCGCCGUAAGAC